rnacentral:rRNA from 1 species
GACGAACGCUGGCGGCGUGCUUAACACGUGCAAGUCGAACGGAAAGGCCCUGCUUUUGUGGGGUGCUCGAGUGGCGAACGGGUGAGUAACACGUGAGUAACCUGCCCUUGACUUUGGGAUAACUUCAGGAAACUGGGGCUAAUACCGGAUAGGAGCUCCUGCUGCGUGGUGGGGGUUGGAAAGUUUCGGCGGUUGGGGAUGGACUCGCGGCUUAUCAGCUUGUUGGUGGGGUAGUGGCUUACCAAGGCUUUGACGGGUAGCCGGCCUGAGAGGGUGACCGGCCACAUUGGGACUGAGAUACGGCCCAGACUCCUACGGGAGGCAGCAGUGGGGAAUAUUGCACAAUGGGCGGAAGCCUGAUGCAGCAACGCCGCGUGCGGGAUGACGGCCUUCGGGUUGUAAACCGCUUUCGCCUGUGACGAAGCGUGAGUGACGGUAAUGGGUAAAGAAGCACCGGCUAACUACGUG